AACGAACGCUGGCGGCAGGCUUAACACAUGCAAGUCGAACGCCCCGCAAGGGGAGUGGCAGACGGGUGAGUAACGCGUGGGAAUCUACCUAGUUCUACGGAACAACACAGGGAAACUUGUGCUAAUACCGUAUACGCCCUACGGGGGAAAGAUUUAUCGGAAUUAGAUGAGCCCGCGUAAGAUUAGCUAGUUGGUGGGGUAAUGGCCUACCAAGGCGACGAUCUUUAGCUGGUCUGAGAGGAUGAUCAGCCACACUGGGACUGAGACACGGCCCAGACUCCUACGGGAGGCAGCAGUGGGGAAUAUUGGACAAUGGGCGCAAGCCUGAUCCAGCCAUGCCGCGUGAGUGAUGAAGGCCUUAGGGUUGUAAAGCUCUUUCAGUGGGGAAGAUAAUGACGGUACCCACAGAAGAAGCCCCGGCUAACUUCGUGCCAGCCGCCGCAGUAACAC
rnacentral:rRNA from 1 species